rnacentral:rRNA from 1 species
CACGUAGGCACCAAGCGUUGUCCGGAUUUAUUGGGCGUAAAGAGCUCGUAGGCGGUUGAGUAAGUCGGGUGUGAAAACUCUGGGCUUAACCCAGAGCCGCCACUCGAUACUGCUCUGACUUGAGUUCGGUAGGGGAGCAGGGAAUUCCUAGUGUAGCGGUGAAAUGCGCAGAUAUUAGGAGGAACACCGGUGGCGAAGGCGCUGCUCUGGGCAGAAACUGACGCUGAGGAGCGAAAGCGUGGGGAGCAAACAGG